AGUCGAGGGGUAUAGGGAGCUUGCUUCCCAGAGACCGGCGCACGGGUGCGUAACGCGUAUGCAAUCUACCUUUUGCAGAGGGGUAGCCCAGAGAAAUUUGGAUUAAUACCUCAUAGUAUGUGAGAAUGGCAUCMUCUUCACAUUAAAGUCACAACGGCAAAAGAUGAGCAUGCGUCCCAUUAGCUAGUUGGUAAGGUAACGGCUUACCAAGGCAACGAUGGGUAGGGGUCCUGAGAGGGAGAUCCCCCACACUGGUACUGAGACACGGACCAGACUCCUACGGGAGGCAGCAGUGAGGAAUAUUGGACAAUGGGCGCAAGCCUGAUCCAGCCAUGCCGCGUGCAGGAUGACGGUCCUAUGGAUUGUAAACUGCUUUUGUACAGGAAGAAACACUGGUUCGUGAACCAGCUUGACGGUACUGUAAGAAUAAGGAUCGGCUAACUCCGUGCCAGCAGCCGCGGUAAUACGGAGGAUCCAAGCGUUAUCCGGAAUCAUUGGGUUUAAAGGGUCCGUAGGCGGUUUAGUAAGUCAGUGGUGAAAGCCCAUCGCUCAACGGUGGAACGGCCAUUGAUACUGCUAGACUUGAAUUAUUAGGAAGUAACUAGAAUAUGUAGUGUAGCGGUGAAAUGCUUAGAGAUUACAUGGAAUACCAAUUGCGAAGGCAGGUUACUACUAAUGGAUUGACGCUGAUGGACGAAAGCGUGGGUAGCGAACAGGAUUAGAUACCCUGGUAGUCCACGCCGUAAACGAUGGAUACUAGCUGUUGGGGGCAACUUCAGUGGCUAAGCGAAAGUGAUAAGUAUCCCACCUGGGGAGUACGUUCGCAAGAAUGAAACUCAAAGGAAUUGACGGGGGCCCGCACGAGCGGUGGAGCAUGUGGUUUAAUUCGAUGAUACGCGAGGAA
rnacentral:rRNA from 1 species